CCCCUCUUGACUCCCUCUUAAAAACCUGAAUACAGUUACUUUUAAAAGGAGGUUUCCAUCAGUGAAAAAAAAAUCAGUAUUCCUUGCUAUAAGCAGGAGGAAAUGAUAAAACAGGAAGAGAUAUACAACGAAAACAGAGCAAUGGUAUGAAACUCUGGCUGGAUCCUGUCGGUCGGUCGGGGCAGGAGGCCCAGAGCUGGAGGCCGACCCACCUUGGUGAUGGGGGGAGAUGGGAAAUGUUAAGAGACGUGUCGAAGACAGACUAGCCCCAAGCUGAGGCCUUCUCUUUCACAGCAUCAGAAGCGACGAAGGGAUAAUCUCAACACGUUAUUGAUUUAACGCCCUGUCCUUGGAUCAUGUUGUGUCGCCCAGGGGACCGUGAUGAGACGUCUCUGGGCCCUGCUGCCCUUUCUUCUGUCUCUCACUGCUCCCUCAUCUCCUCCCAUCUCCCUCUCCCUUCCUCCCCCUCUUUUUAGUAGAGUAAGCAAGUACUUCUGUUAUUCGAUGUUCUAACAACCCAUGAGCAAGAAGACAGAGGAAAGAGUUUCAAACCCUGGACAGAUGACCCGAAGAGGCCCCUAGCCAGGCUCUCUCCCCGGCCCUCCGCCUCUCCUCCAAGACGCCUUCGUGUCCUCAGCACUGGGCAAACCCGGAGAAGAGUGACUGAGGUUGGGGUCGUGUGGACAGACUCAUCGGGCAGGGACUCCCCACAGCACACGGAGGGACGGCUGUGCCUGACCGAGGAGCUGUGACGCCGUCUCAAGGUAAAAUCGGGACUUCCGUAGAAAUAUUCAAAACAUGAACCACGUGUUAAAGAAUUUAUUUUGCUGGGAUCCCUGGAUGGCUCAGCGGUUUGGUGCCUGCCUUUGGCCCAGGGUGUAGUCCUGGAGUCCCAGGAUCGAGUCGAGUCCCGGGAUCCCGGGAUUGAGUCCCACAUCAGGCUCCCUGUGUGGAGCCUGCUUCUCUCUCUCUCUCUCUCUCUCUCUCUCUCUGUCUGUCUCCCAUGAAUAAAUAAAUAAAUAAUAUUUAAAAAAAAAGAAUU
rnacentral:lncRNA from 12 species